GCCAAAUAGCUAGCCCGAACAUAACUAUAACUUUAAAAUAUAGAUAAAAAAACCAUCCCACACACUAAAACAUUUUACCCCCUUAGUAUAGGCGAUAGAAAAGGAUCUCGGAGCAAUAGAAAAAGUACCGCAAGGGAAAGUUGAAAAAGAAAUGAAAUAAGACAACAAAGCUAUAAAAAGCAGAGACUAAUUCUCGUACCUUUUGCAUCAUGGUCUAGCAAGUAAAGCCCAAGCAAAGAGAACUUAAGUUUGACCCCCCGAAACCAGGAGAGCUACUCCGGAGCAGCCCAAAGGGGCAUAUCCGUCUCUGUGGCAAAAGAGUGGAGCGACUCCCGAGUAGAAGUGACAAGCCUACCGAACCUGGUGAUAGCUGGUUGCUCAUAAAAUGAAUAUAAGUUCAGCGCUAUAAACUUCUUACCCCUACACAAAAAGGAGUAAGUAAAACAUAGUAGUUAGUCAAAAGGGGUACAGCCCUUUUGAAAGAGGACACAACCUUAUUCGGGCGGAAAAGGAUAAAUAACCAAGGAACCUACCCCAGUGGGCCUAAAAGCAGCCACCUGUAAAGAUAGCGUUAAAGCUCAAGCGGACCCCAACCCAGAAUACAAAUUAGCCAAACCCCACCCCCCAAAAAUACUGAGCCCCCCUAUAAAAGUAUAGAGAAGAUAAUGCUAGAAUUAGUAAUAAGAAGGGCAUGCCCUUCUCCUCGCACAAUCGUGAAUCAGAUAGGACCCACCACUGAUAACUAACGGACCCAAAAGAAGGAGCGGCAACAGAACAACAAUAAACAAGACAACCAUGCCAAAAAUACCGUCAUCCCGACACAGGAGUGCACCCAGGAAAGACUAAAAGGGGAAGAAGGAACUCGGCAAAUUAAAGUCCCGCCUGUUUACCAAAAACAUCGCCUCUUGCUAACAAUGAAGUAUUAGAGGUCCCGCCUGCCCUGUGACAGCAAUGUUUAACGGCCGCGGUAUCCUAACCGCGCGAAGGUAGCGUAAUCACUUGUCUUUUAAAUGGAGACCUGUAUGAAUGGCAUAACGAGGACUUAACUGUCUCCUUUCCCUAGUCGAUGAAAUUGAUCUGCCCGUGCAGAAGCGGGCAUACCAGCAUAAGACGAGAAGACCCUAUGGAGCUUUAGGCAGAUGAUCAAGCUCAACAAGCCCUGUCAAAAAUCAGGAUUGGGAAGACAAACGCCAAUGAUCAGCACGCCUUCGGUUGGGGCGACCGUGGAGGAGAAAAAAGCCUCCAUGUAGAACGGGAAAACCCUUAAGCUAAGAUAAACUAAUCUAAGUAUCAGAAAUUCUGACUAAGUAUGAUCCAGGACAAAUCUGAUCAACGAACUGAGUUACCCUAGGGAUAACAGCGCAAUCCUCUCCCAGAGUCCAUAUCGACGAGAGGGUUUACGACCUCGAUGUUGGAUCAGGACAUCCUAAUGGUGCAGCCGCUAUUAAGGGUUCGUUUGUUCAACGAUUAAUAGUCCUACGUGAUCUGAGUUCAGACCGGAGUAAUCCAGGUCGGUUUCUAUCUAUGUCCUAGCCUACCCCUAGUACGAAAGGACCGGAGUAGGGGGGCCUACAAACAAACAAGCCCCACUUCAACCUGCUGAAAUUAUCUAAAGCAGACAAUGAAGAAGAUUUAAUAACCAAAGGUAAUGGUAU
rnacentral:rRNA from 1 species